GCGUGGAAGAUGUUAUGAGUAGGUUCAUGAGAGGGCUCAAUUCUGAAGUUCGAACCUCGUUGAUUAGCAAAUCAUACAGACAUAUUUGUCAAUUGUUUUGUCUUGCUCUCAAUGCUGAAAAGUAGAUUCUAUUAUCUAUGAAUACUUGCAAGAAUGAUGACGGGUCCGUAGACCCGGGGUCCCCAACGGGACUGCCUUCCCACGACACUUAGCCCAACGAAGAGCACAACCACAAUGUACACCUGGGUCGGCCCGUCUACGCGUUGCCAG
rnacentral:lncRNA from 1 species